GCCUGGGUGGCUCAGUCGGUUAAGCGUCUGACUCCAGCUCAGGUCAUGAUCUCACACUCCAUGGGUUCGAGUCCCACGUCAGGCU
rfam:Felis catus isolate Cinnamon breed Abyssinian chromosome A3, whole genome shotgun sequence.